CUCACAAGUAAGUAAGUGCACACAUGAAUACCAACAUACCAAAAGUAAUUUGCCUUAAGCUGCUUCCCAAGAAAGUGGACAAAGAUUUUUCAAAAGACCCUGGAAGUUGCAGGAUGAAGCUGCAAGGCAAUUUAAUGCUAAUCAAGAUGGCCAAUUGCACUAGUACUCAUACUUGCCUCAAACAGACAAGAAUUCUUUCUCUCACCCUGGACUUUCCACAGAUAUAUAAAUCCCAUUGCCUAGUUUCCAACAGACCUCACAACCUCUGAGGAUGCCUGCUAUAGAUGUGGACAAAACAUCAGGAGAGAAUGCGUCUGAAACAUGGACAUAGAACACGGAAAACUCACAGCAACACACUGGAAGUAACUUGUGUUAGGCUUUCCUUCCAAACAACUGUGCACUAAAGUUGAACAUCCAAAAUACAUUGGAAGUAACUUGGAUUAGGUUUCUUCCCAAGUAACAUGAAAUGGAACACUGAAAGGACAUUGGAAGUAACUUAUCUUAGACUUUCUUCCCAAGUAAUAUGAAGUAAGAGAAAACAAAGAUGUUGGCUUACUUUCGACCAAAUACCCAAAAGAAAAGGGGUGUCCUUAGAAGCUAGUAUGAUAAUCAAACCUUGGGCCAUCCUUAUUCCCCAUGAGCAGCCUUAUUGACAAAUGCUAAACUCCAGCCGGAGGCCUCUUUAUACAAGGGGUGGAUUCAUGGGUAUUUAAACUAAAGUGUCUCCAGGCCAGUCAAAAGAGGCGCUCAGAAGUUUCUGCAAACAACAAUGCCGCUGAAAUUAAUGGAUAAUGGAAGCGAUGCAGGGGAAAGGCGCAGCAAACCUCCCUGGGUCUCCAGGAAAACGCCAUCGACUGCCGGAGUCAAAAGCAGAAAGAUGGCUCUGGCGAACAGAAACUACAAACGCGAUGCAUCUUAAUCAUAACUUGAGGUGCAGCUUCAACUUCCGCGCUCGGGAAGGCGGUUGGGGUUUGUUUUUUCUUCAAGGAAAGCUCCCCUUUCCAUGAAGAUCUGGAUUAGUAUGAAGUUAAUGUGAAAACUGGCGUUGAACUAUUAACUCCGGAUGUGUAGUGGGGAGUGGAGUGAAUCUCUGCGGGUGUUUUGAAAAAGAGAACUUCUUAGCAGUCAAUAGUGAGUGCUUUCUUCAGGUUCUGUUUUGGAAGACGUGGAAAGUCCACCUUGCUAUGCUAGAUGUUCUGGACUAUAUUUCUUCAAAGGGGACAAAUCGGUUCGGAAUUUGUUUGGCAAUAGUUGAAUUUCAAGGAUUCUGGACUUUGGAAAACAAAUACCAGCGGACAUGACAGCAUCUGCCCUUUGAUAUGUCUCGCCCACGCAUCCUGGCUCCCUCAUGGAGAUUCACUAGUGACUUUUUGGUUACCUCAAGGACCUAGAGAUCUGGAUCCUUUCGGAGAAAUAAAAAUCCUGAACGUUUUGUUUAGAUUUUAAGGCCACGUGAACCAUCUCUUUGUGAACACAGGAAUGAAACUUCUCCUGAAGAAACCCAAAGCAAAUCUGCUGCUAACUCAGACUUCAUCCUGAAGGAAGAAGGGGCCAAAACCACCCUUUCCCAAAUAGUUGGGCCUGCUGGGUUUUAGAAUCCAGAUGUUACUAAGUUGAAUUACCAUUUCCAAGCUUGAAGCCUCAUCUUAGCCAUAUUUACUCACAGCUCUUUCCACUCCCUGCGCCAUCCUGACCAUUUGCAAUGGCUCUUCCAAGACCGAGGCUUGCAUUUCUGUGCAUUUCUUUGUUUAACAAAACGUGCAUUCAUGGACCCAGAAAGAUGAAUCGACGCCAAGCAGAAAAUCCCAACCGGUUUAGCUAUUUAUCAAACCCGAAAUUCCGAAUAAUUUGUAUAAUAAACACCACCAUUCCGAGACCUAGCAAUCCUGCAACAUGAAACUGUUUUAAACGAUUGGGCAACGGAUUUCGCUUUACCCACCCAAGACUCUUACCUUCUUGCGUUUCCAACCGCCGGCAGAAUUAUUUCCAAACUGAGCGAGUCUUUAAACCUUAUUUUCCAAUGGACCGGAGAGCUGUAAACAAAGAGCAGGCAAUGACUAAAUAAGAAGAGGAUAAGGGAAGAAAUGCUCAUUUGGAUUCAAGACUAGGGUCAGCGGUUGACCUAUUUCAACAGAACCUAGAUGGGAAUAUAAGCAAUAGAAAGACACUCCCGAUUCACAUUAUUAUUAUUAUUAUUAUUAUUAUUAUUAUUAUUAUUAUUAUUAUUAUUAUUAUUAUUACAGUCUUGGGUGAGGUUGAAAUAUCAGUAUCUCAAGCAGUUCCACUUCUCCAUACAAAGUAAUUAUUCAAGAAUGUAGGCUUUGUAUCUCACCAAAGUAGCUUUGUUUAGUAUCCUUGAAUCAAGUAAAGAAGAUAAACAGACCUCACCAUACUCAUUUUUCUUCAACUAUGUAACAAUGAGUCUUCUUUAUUUGAAAUACAGGGCUCAGAGUCACAAGCAUGGGAAUCUGUCCUGAUCCACUGACAAAAAAAUCAGGGAUUUUUAAAAUAAUUCACAUAAAUAAUAAUAAUAAUAAUAAUAAUAAUAAUUAUUAUUAUUAUUUAAGCCUUUGACAAAAUAAUAAUAAUAAUAAUAAUAAUAAUAAUAAUAAUAAUAAUUUUAUAAAAUAAGCAAUGGGAGGCAAAAAGGAAAACUAGGAUUAUCAUUGUUUUGUCCCUGAAUGAAAAAGGAGUCAGAGGAUUAAGUUAUUGACCUUCACAAAGCAAUAAUUUUUAAAGCAUAUGUAUAAUUUAUAGUAACAAGGUUCUGUUUCGCCUUCCCUCUUCCUCUCUUUUCCCCACCCCAUGUAUUAUCUCCAGAUGUUUUACAUUUUAUGUUACAUUUUAUUUUGAAGCCUCACCCGAUUUGAUUCUCCUUUAUGGGCUAGUAAAAGUGUCUGCUAAUAAUAGCUAAACAAUGGGAACCAUGUCAAAGCCUUGGGCUGGAGGGCUGAAAUUCCAUGCUGGGAAAAGUUGAUGUGACAGAAUGUGGUUCUGAUAAAUGUAAAUUACAAUCAUAGUUUUUCAAGGUAGUGUUAAACAGUCAUCUAACAAAAAAAGAACCCCAUAAACAACCGUUUAUAAGUGUGUUAAAUGUUUCCUCAAAUUAUCAAAAACUUUCCUUUCUGGAGCUUCUUGGCAGGCGCCACUUCAGGCAAUAAAUAAAAACUUAUUUCAUA